AACGCACAUUGCGCCCCCUGGUAUUCCGGGGGGCAUGCCUGUUCGAGCGUCAUUUCACCACUCAAGCCUGGCUUGGUAUUGGACGCCGCGGUCCUGCCGCGCGCCCUAAUGUCUUCGGCUGAGUCGUCUGUCCUCCAGCGUUGUGGUAACAUGAUCCGCUGCCGGGAUGCGACGGCUCACCGCCGCUAAACCCUUUCAUCUAAGCUUGACCUCGGAUCAGGUAGGGAUACCCGCUGAACUUAA
rnacentral:misc_RNA from 1 species